CUAACAAGGUAUCCGUAUAUCUUAACAUCGGCCGGUAUAUUUGGAACGUCCUUUUUCUUCUUUAGCGGCGGACGGCUGAUUAACACUUGGGCAACCUACCUUAUUUUUCGGGAUAACUCCGGGAAACCGGGGCUAAUACCGAGUAAUCUGUUGCACCUCAUGGUGAAACACUGAAAGACGGUUUCGGCUGUCGCUAUAGGAUGGGCCCGCGGUGCAUUAACUAGUUGGUGAGGUAACGGCUCACCAAGGCGACGAUGCGUAGCCGACCUGAGAGGGUGAUCGGCCACACUGGGACUGAUACACGGCCCAUACUCCUACGGGAGGAAGCAGUAGGGAAUCUUCCACAAUGGGCGAAAGCCUGAUGGAGCAACGCCCCGUGAGUGAAGAAGGAUUUCGGUUCGUAAAACUCUGUUGUGAGGGAAGAACAAGUACAGUAGUAUCUGGCUGUACCUUGACGGUACCUUAUUAGAAAGCCACGGCUAACUACGUGCCAGCAGCCGCGGUAAUACGUAAGUGGCAAGCGUUGUCCAGAAUUAUUGGGCGUAAAGCGCGCGCAGGUGGUUUCUUAAGUCUGAUGUGAAAGCCCACGGCUCACCGUGGAGGGUCAUUGGAAACUGGGAGACUUGAGUGCAGAAGAGGAUAG
rnacentral:rRNA from 1 species